CUCCUGGCGCCCACGGCGGCAAUCCGAGGCUGCUGGACAGCACCGAGCAGAGCUACACCCAAGACCGCUCCGAGCAGCCCUCAAACUGAGGGGAGAACGGGAGGGUCGGCGGGAUUCUAACAGCAGCGUGUCAUGCACACAAGCGCCUCCCCCAUCCACCUCUCCCUUACCCACCGCAAGCAGAUGCUGACACCCUCUGGUGGGAUGGCCGCCCCCCCAGCAGCCGUUUAUAGCCUGGUCCCGCCCUCUCCGACCCCCGGGGCGCUGCGUCACUUCCUGCCUCACGUAUACCUCUGGAAAUGGACGGCCCCGCGGCCAGGAGUGCGCACGCACCGGAGUCGGGAGCCCUUGGCUGGAGCGCGGGAGCUGGAAACUAUAUUCAGCAUCCUGUAAUAAACUAUAAAGGAAAAUAAAAAGAAAAAAUAGGAGUUCCUGUCCUGGCGCAGCGGAAACGAAUCCGACUAGGAACCAUGCUGGUUGGAUCCCUGGCCUCGCUCAGUGGGUUAAGGGUCCGGUGUUGCCAUGUGCUGUGCUGUAGGUCGCACAGGCGGCUCGGAUCCCGCGUUGCUGUGGCUGUGGUGUAGGCCGGCGGCUGUAGCUCCGAUUAGAACUUCCGUAUGCCGCAGUGCGGCCCUAAAAAAAGCAAAACAAACAUAAAAGUAUAGAUCUGGUCACAUAUGUGUAUAACCGAAUCACUUUGCUGUAUACCUGAAACUAACACAAUAUUGUAAAUCAACUAUAAUUUUUUUUGAAAAAGCAAAAUACAAAUUUGUAUUUAGGAUGUGUAAAAGCUGCUCAUGAAUCGCAAGGACUGGCACUGAGAUUUGCAGGAUGUUUUAAUGCCUGAAGAAAUGGAAAGGAAAAUAGAAACAAGCGAUUUAUUGGGGUGCUGGAAUUGCAGAAGUUUCCUGUUCAUUGUCAUUGUUAUUAUAAUAGGAUUGUGCAAUGCUUAACAAAUAAAAUGAUAUUGUUACCACUUUCUAAACUCUCUGCAAACGUUCUCACCCUUUCCCUUGGUAACCUACGAUCCUGUGAGGGAGAUUAGACACGUUUACAAAUAGCCGCGAAACUGGAAUACGACUGGGGCCAUAAAAUUGUUACAGAUAAAGCACUUUCCAAGUCUGAGCCCUGAUGGGCAAAGAAGUCCUUUGAAAUGCAAAUCUGUUUCCUGGUCUCCGGCUUCUGCUCUCCCUCUCAUGGGAAGUACGCUGAGUCUGCACCGCCCUUUCCCAUGCCCGAGCUCCCUAAAAUCUCUCCCCAAGGAGAAACAUUUUAAAAUCAUACAAACAGAAAUAUCACCACACCUUAGUAGAUCUACACAGGAAAAAGUUAAAGCAGUGAAAGGGAUGGAUUCACUGACAGGGCCAACCUGAAAUUCUGACAAUAGGCCAGCUGAGUCCCUUCUCUUUCCCGGAUUGGUAGGACCUUAAAACAAACAGUGCUAAUAUCCAAGGGAAAAUCUUAUAACCACGCGAAGAAAAUGGGCUUAGGAGACUGGAGGUCAGGAUGCAAAGUAUGAAAAUCCAAAUUAAAAAGUUUAAAUUCACUAAAAUGACAAUAAAGAAGACAAUAGAGAGCAUGUCAAUUACGUAUUUAUUUCCUUGCUUUUAUUAGUAAUAACACUAAGCAAAUACAUUUCCUUUACUCUCCCUUUCUUCAGGGAGACACUUUACAGGAUCUCCUUCUUUGGCAGUUUAAGUAGAUGGAAAUAGAUUUGUCUUGCUUUGUUGCAGAAUCUAUACAUACUGAGAGGCAAUUUUGCUUUGUCCGGUAUUCCAUACAUAUGUUUAAAGCUUUUUUUUUUUUUUUUUUAAUCUGACUUUUGCUGUGUUGUUGCCAUUAUUAUAUAGCAUUAGCUCCCACUUCUGCAGACUCAGUAAUUUGGAUGCCUGCAAUGAAAUAAAUUUUUCAUAACCUUUAUUUGAACUCUCCAGAAUAACUAAAAUGGUUAUUAUUCAACUUCCAACAGUCCAUAGAGUGUUACAUAAGACCUAACUUACAGUGGACCUAAAAUUCUUGCCGUUCUUCCAAAAGGUACACAGAAAAAAAAAAAUUUUUUUAAAUCAUGUAUGCUAGAAUUUUGCAUAAAGAAAAACUGGAGGUUGGAGAGGAGUGUACAGUGUGCUUAAUGCAUUGAUUUUUAAAAGCCCUAGAGAUCUGGGAAAAGAAGGCAAAGUCUGGUCUCAAGGAACUGGAAUUCUCAACUUCCUUGAGUCUGGGUUACCUCAGCUUUUAAAUGGGAAUAAAAAUACUUGGCUCAUAGGUUUUCUGUGGCUUUAAGUGAGAUAAGGCAAGUGCAAUCUCCUAAAAACACACAGUAUACUGGUACAUAGGAGACUCUUGGUUGAGUCUGUCUGGGUGGGAUAGAGCAGGAUCAGGCAGGAUAAUGACAUGGAAGAAGUCUGCAGGGCAGAUUUGGGUUGCUGAGGAAGACAUGCUAAGGCAUGCAGCCAGAGGCCACCAGCUUGCCUGUGGUGUGUAUUAAAACCCUGCUCUAGGCAAAUACCUUAGGGGAAUUACUGGUGUUAAGAGAAGGUUAAGGGAAUCAUCACCACUGCAAAAUUCUCCCUCUCUCUCUUUUUUUUUUUUUCAUCUUAAGAUGAAACCAGGAGUCUUUCUAUUUGGUGAGGGAGGAAUAGCAGGAAAAAAACCAGAGAAGCCACUGACAUAAUGAAAAGAGGCCCAGCCUGGAAGUCAGCCACUGGUCCAGAGCUGUGUCAUCAGCUGUGCUGCAGCCCCAUGGGUUUAAUGGCUUUAUGCUUCAGUUUUCCCACUGGCCACGUGGGGAGAACAUCCCUUUAUUCCCCAGUGAAUUAAAAAGUAGGAAAGCUCCUGAAAUUACAGGGUUAUGCAAAGAUAAGUUGCUGCUAGUUCACAGCCUCAGCCAAAUGAGUAAAUGUGGCUGGAGGGGAAAAAGCCUGGAAACUGGAAAGUUCCAAGCAACUAGCGCUGAAAUAAUUGCUUCAGAAGAGGAAAGUUGUCUUCAAUGGCUGUUGACUGCCCUGAUUCCAAUACAAAUCACUGCUGCUGAUAAUGGCUAAGAAGAAAAGGUAAUCAAUCACCAUCAUUAUUAUCAUUUAUUUUGUGUUGAACAAAGGUGUGUAAAGAACUGCGAAAGGAAUCUGUACUCCUGAAAAGGCAAAGAGGGUAGCUGGGAGAAACAGAGUUUAUAUUUAAAAGACAAAUAACAAGUGUGCAAGCGUGGAAGAGAAGAAACGGCCCAGAUCUGAAAAGGAAGGUAAGACUUGGAUGUGCUCACCAAGGCACACUGUAAUUUGCCACAUCUUGUUCCAAAUUGUAUGUCUAUUAGUUUCUAGUUGAUUUUUAUGCCUGUUUUUUUUUUAAACAAUCUAUUUUGUAAUACAGAAGUACAGUUGAAUGUAAACACACUCUCUCCUCUCUAACUCAGUCACAGGUAGAAGAAGGUACUUUUGCUGCCUACCCCAUAAGAUCAAAAUCAAUACACACACCUCUUCUGGGAGAUACAGACCAGGAAACUACACACUGGGCAGGAAUUAUAAACCCAAACCUCCAAGAAGAAGUUAGGAGGGUGGGAGGUUUUUGGCUUUCAGACAAAGGCAUUUAGUGCCUUUUCCCUUACAUUUUCAAAUGUUCAUCUGUUUAUGAUACAUAUGUAUAUUUUAUCACAAUUUACAAAAAUACAUUAAUUUGUAAACUCAGUCAUAGAGGAUCUAAAGCCAUUUGCUUUUUCUGGGGUCCUUUCUGUGGCCCGAAUGCUGGAGUCUCUGGGGUUAGCAUUUCCCAAAUUUUUGACUGUGCUCCAUGGUAAAAUGUCCACUUUACAACUCAGUCCACAUGUGUGUGUAUGUGUAGGUGUGUGUGUGUGCAUGUAUUCACAUGAAACAAGCAAAACUUUCAUGAAAUGAUACCCUUGCUGUGUGCAAAGCAGUCUGGAAUUUUCUAUGUAAUUUUUUUAAUGCUGCUUUCAACCUAUUAAAUUGACUUCUCAGUGGGCUCUGACCUGUGAUUAUAAACCCCCUCCUAAUCCACGCCUUUCUCAGAGCAUAAGUCCUUCUAGUGAACAGGACAAACGACUUGCUCCAAGUUAAAUAUCAACUCCCAAGCUUUCUCCUUGUUACUUUGCCCAAUGUUUCAACUUGCUGCCACCCUGCCCUUCGGCAGAUAUUGAGUGAGGUUUUAUGAGUUGGGAGGCAGAGUUUAAAAACAUAGAUAAAGCCUUUUCAGAUGCUUUUCAGUACACCUCUCGGUGCAGCAAGUUAAGGAUCUGGCGUUGUCAGUAAAGUGGCCCAGGUCACUGCUGUGGCCUUGGGUCUGAUCCCUGGCAUGGGAACUUCCACAUGCCACAUGUGUGGCAAAAAAAUUAAGAUAAAAAUGUUUUCAAACAUACUAUGGUUGAUGAUGGCAGAACUCUGCCAGCCACACAGUAAGGCCUCAUAGCAACCAGUAUAGAAGCCACCCCAACCUACAUUCAGCUCUGAUCACAGCUCCUAUUUGACAAACUGUAUCUACUUUUUUUUACUUUGGAAUCCUAAGCCCAGGGCCAUCACUUUAGGACCAGAAUUGUAAAAUAAAAAUGUGGAGCUCUGCACACUGCAAUAGGAUGUGUUCCAGAGAAUGAAGGUGGACAGUCAGGUCAUAUAUUUGAGGAAGCUUACACAAGAGAACAUGGAAGAAGAGCAAUCCAGGUUAUCAUGGUGGAAUUUGCCCCUACUUUAUAGCAAGUGGCAAAGAUUACUCAGGGUAGGGAAAGCAGAAUAUAUGAUUAAUUUUUAAAUUAAUUAUAAGAAUAUUUAUGCCAAUAAGUACAGCAGUCAAAGUAGGAGUGUCAAGCAGGAUAUAAGGUCCUAUUUAGCCUUAUCUGGGCAAAAUAGAUCUAGUUUCAUAAUAACAUUUCAAUUUUGGAAGUAACUUUAGCACAUGUACCAUCCAUGGCCUCUGACAGCUGUUCAAUAAACUUACGUUAAAAUCAUUUAAUAAAAUUCCUAGUUCCCAUCCUGGCUCAAUGGUUAACAA